GCACUCGUCGCUGAAUGCUCAGUUGGUUAGAGCAUUCUGCCGUCCGGCAGAAUGGAUCUGGGGGUCGCGGGUUCAAAUCCCGUCGGUCGCCCCA
rnacentral:tRNA from 1 species